rnacentral:rRNA from 1 species
AUGAACGCUGGCGGCGUGCCUAAUACAUGCAAGUCGAGCGAACGGACGAGAAGCUUGCUUCUCUGAUGUUAGCGGCGGACGGGUGAGUAACACGUGGAUAACCUACCUAUAAGACUGGGAUAACUUCGGGAAACCGGAGCUAAUACCGGAUGAUAUUUUGAACCGCAUGGUUCAAAAGUGAAAGACGGUCUUGCUGUCACUUAUAGAUGGAUCCGCGCUGCAUUAGCUAGUUGGUAAGGUAACGGCUUACCAAGGCAACGAUGCAUAGCCGACCUGAGAGGGUGAUCGGCCACACUGGAACUGAGACACGGACCAGACUCCUACGGGAGGCAGCAGUAGGGAAUCUUCCGCAAUGGGCGAAAGCCUGACGGAGCAACGCCGCGUGAGUGAUGAAGGUCUUCGGAUCGUAAAACUCUGUUAUUAGGGAAGAACAUAUGUGUAAGUAACUGUGCACAUCUUGACGGUACCUAAUCAGAAAGCCACGGCUAACUACGUG